AGCGUGUUAUUUCUCAGACUUGGAAAUGCAUUGUAUCGAUGUUAUGUCAAAGGCCAAACCUCUGUUCAGUGUAAAUAGCUGCUCCUGUGCCAACAAUCCCAGUGCUUUCCUUUUUUAAAAAAGAAAAAGCAAAUCCUAUGUGAUUUUAACUCUGUCUUCACCUGAUUCAACUAAAAAAAAAAAAGUAUUAUUUUCCAAAAGUGGCCUCUUUGUCUAAAACAAUAAAAUUUUUUUUCAUGUUUUAACAAAAAAUGAUCAGGACAGGUGUUUGGGUUUUUUUUCCCUUUUUUAUACAUAUGAUAUAUAUGUUAACAUAUGUUCCUGUACAUACACCAUGUGGGUGCUACCAUGGAGACUGGCCAGCGUAGGCCACAUAGCUACAGGACCGGAGUGGGGAUUACUGCAGAACCCUGCCAGCAAAGCACUGGUGUCAGCCUGCAAGCCGGUGGCCUCAUUUUUUGACUUCUACGAAGCAUGACGUCCUCUCCAUUUGGACUGCACUUUUUUGGUUCCUAAUCAUACCUAUAGAUUGUUCAUGUGACUUUUUUCAGGUCCCAGGGCCUAGUCACGAGUUUUAGUGCCAGUUUUUGCUCCAGCGAACUGUGAUUCGUUCUUGAAACUUAGGAGUGAGCAUUUUAAGCAAAAAGCAGCCAGCCAGUUCUACCACAAGAGCUGCAAGACGGAGACCACACAAACUUCCUGUAUAAAUAUGAAUGCUGAAGGGUUCAGGUGUUUUCCUUUUAUUUAAUAAAUCUUGUAACCACAUUUAAAUGGUCUAAACCCAUAGCAUUGUAGUCAUGGCAACCUACUAAACUUUCUCAUGCAACUAAAAAUUAUGGGAAGGCAAGGGUGGGGGGUUGUACACGUCCCAUUGUAAAAUAAGUGUUUUACUGUCCUGUACUGCUAAUGAGUGACUCUCCGUGUCAGGAGUGCUCCAGUGAAUAACUAUGCACUACUUUACAUUUCAUGGGGGUGCACAAAAAAAAAAAAGUAUUACAUUUUUAGUUGCUGUUUGUACCAACCUCGAAUUACGUAUGUUUAACAACAAAUCAAUUCCUAUUUCUAUUGAGUUUUUUAAUACUGACUAGCAAUUCUGAAGUCUUAAUUCCUUUUUUUUGUUAAUGAUUUACUUGUGAGUUUACAUUUUUAAAUUGUUUAACUUUCCUAAUUUAGUAAUUAAAAAGAGAGCAUUUUACAUUUG
rnacentral:lncRNA from 1 species